CCCUUAGAUGUUCUGGGCUGCACGCGCGCUACACUGAUGCAUGCAACGAGUUUUCGACCUUGCCUGAAAAGGUUGGGUAAUCUGUUUAACAUGUGUCGUGAUGGGGAUAGACCAUUGCAAUUAUUGAUCUUCAACGAGGAAUUCCUAGUAAGCGCGAGUCAUCAGCUCGUGCUGAUUAUGUCCCUGCCCUUUGUACACACCGCCCGUUGCUCCUACCGAUUGAGUGAUCCGGUGAAUGAUUCGGACCAGCGUGCUGCUCAGAUCCUGCGCAGUGUGCUGGGAAGUCUAGUGAACCUUAUCACUUAGAGGAAGGAGAAGUCGUAACA
rnacentral:rRNA from 1 species